rnacentral:misc_RNA from 1 species
AAGUCGUAACAAGGUUUCCGUAGGUGAACCUGCGGAAGGAUCAUUAACAAAUCAAUACACACGAUCUCUUGGCGUUAGCCUUGAGACUCGACACACGAUACAUGUUGACGAACAUUGAGACAAUCAAUUAAAACAACUUUUAACAAUGGAUCUCUUGGCUCUU